rnacentral:rRNA from 1 species
AGUGAACGCUGGCGGUAGGCCUAACACAUGCAAGUCGAACGGCAGCACAGUAAGAGCUUGCUCUUACGGGUGGCGAGUGGCGGACGGGUGAGGAAUACAUCGGAAUCUACUUUUUCGUGGGGGAUAACGUAGGGAAACUUACGCUAAUACCGCAUACGACCUACGGGUGAAAGCAGGGGAUCUUCGGACCUUGCGCGAUUGAAUGAGCCGAUGUCGGAUUAGCUAGUUGGCGGGGUAAAGGCCCACCAAGGCGACGAUCCGUAGCUGGUCUGAGAGGAUGAUCAGCCACACUGGAACUGAGACACGGUCCAGACUCCUACGGGAGGCAGCAGUGGGGAAUAUUGGACAAUGGGCGAAAGCCUGAUCCAGCCAUACCGCGUGGGUGAAGAAGGCCUUCGGGUUGUAAAGCCCUUUUGUUGGGAAAGAAAAGCAGCAGGUUAAUACCCCGCUGUUCUGACGGUACCCAAAGAAUAAGCACCGGCUAUCUUCGUG